AAAGUUUGGAAUUUAUUUAUAUACUUUUGGAAGUUUAAGGAUUAAAGGUUACUAAAAAGUAAAGUUAAGGGACUUAAUUUGCAAUUAUGGGAUUGUGGACAAAUUAAUUCAAACCUUUGACCCAUUUUUUUUCUCAUUUUACACCAAAACACACACACACAAUACGGGAAGCAGAACCGGCCGAGAAAGAAGAGAAAAAGAGGAAAAGAAAAAGGGAAAAAAGGAAAAGAAAAAGGAAGAAGAAGGGGAAAAAGAAAAGGAAAGGAGGUGGUGACGAGGAAGUUGGAAGAGCCUAUCGACCAGUUUAGGUUCAGCUUGUGUUAUAUAGAAGCUGCGUUGAGUCAUAUCAGAGCCUGUCGUUGACGAGUUGAGCUUCAUCGUGUCCUUGUUUGUAUGUCUCAUUUUGUUAAUUCAUACAGCAUAUAUUUUGGGGGUUAAUGUAUUUUGUAUAAAAAAUGUAUUAAGUCUCAUACCCAUUGCCUAUUUUGUGUAUGUUUUGAAAUGGUAAAUUUCUUUUUCAGUACAACUCCUUGAAGAAUUAGUAUUUUGAUGGGCUAGUGUACCCUAUUUUAGAGUAUGUGUAUAUGUUUGGGAUUUUUGGUUUAUUUUCAGGUGGUUUUUAGUCCAUUUUUUAGAGGAAACUCUGCCGAAAUUUUUAUAAAAUUAUAACAGUCAAAGCAUGUCAAGUUUGCCUUGAUGGUGGGUCCGGCAUUUAGCUGGUAUCUACCAUCGGCGCACGACACGUGUCGGAUCCAUUAGGGUGAUCGGGACGGGUCGUGUCACUAAUGCCUCAUCGUCAGUCACGUUCUAAUGUCAAUAUGAAGUAUGACCAGGUGGAUUUUUAUCCUGGAGACGAUAAAGAUGACUCUGGCUUGUACGAUGUUACUCUCGACGUGAACAUGCACUACCAACCACAAAAUGUUCCAAAUAUUUCUCUAAUGAGCAAGUUACAGGUGAAUCAAUCGUUGGCCACCCACUUAAUGUUGACAUUUUAGAAGACGGCAUGGUUAUUGAAAAGAGGCGACCCGCUAAAAAUAUCACGUUGCAGCUCCUGGCCCCACCAGUGAAAUCUCCAAAAUCAAAGAAGCACAGGGGUUCUUCAAAAAAGACUACGGAAUUUGUUUCACUUGCGGAUUUGCCAGAGCCAGAGGAGAUCCCAGUGAUCAACAUGCUCACCAAACCAGUUCUAGCUUGCGUCCCUCUGAAGGUGGUGUUCAGCCGAUUUAAUGCAGCAUUGAAUAGCUCUAUGAUCUGAGCAAUCUAUGUAGUUUUCAUCAUGGAUUUAUAUUUGAUUAGACUGGUUAGUUUAGAUGUUCUUUUUUGAACUAUGAUCAGUUUGUUGCAUUGUAUAAGUAAUCUAGAUACUAUUAAUUUGCAGAUUACUUCAGGUUUGACGGAUGUAAAUUUUUUUAUCUGUUUUAAAAUCAUAUAAGUGAGUUUAUAAUUAUCCCUA